CGGCAAGGCUGGAGUAUUUUAUUACCCUUGUCUUUUGCGCACUUGUUGUUUCCUGGGCGGGUUCGCCCGCCUCCAGGACCACAUGAUAAACCUUUUUUAUGCAGUUGCAAUCAGCGUCAGUACAACAAAUGUAAAUCAUUUACAACUUUCAACAACGGAUCUCUUGGUUCUGGCAUCGAUGAAGAACGCAGCGAAAUGCGAUACGUAGGGGGAAUUGCAGAAUUCAGUGAAUCAUCGAAUCUUUGAACGCACAUUGCGCCCUUUGGUAUUCCAAAGGGCAUGCCUCAUUUUUGAUUUCAGCUCAAGCUUUGCUUGGUGUUGGGCGUUUUUUGUCUUUGGUUUUGUCCAAAGACUCGCCUUAAAACGAUUGGCAGCCGGCCUACUGGUUUCGCAGCGCAGCACAUUUUUGCGCUUGCAAUCAGCAAAAGAGGACGGCACUCCAUCAAGACUCUAUAUCACUUUUGACCUCGGAUCAGGUAGGGAUACCCGC
rnacentral:rRNA from 1 species